GCAGGGUCUGAUCUCUGCACCCCGGGCCCCCGCGCAGACCCGCGGACGAGCGCUGGGUGGGGAUUUCAACCUGCUCCAGCUGAUGUGCGCGGGGUUUGCACCCCGGGGAGGCGAGGGAGAGAGUCCGGCCACGUCCUGCCAGGCCCCGCCCGCGCCCCCGCUGCCCUCCAGCGCGGAACCCAGGUCCCAGGAGACGCGAGGCGCCCAAGGCCCCGGGAUUCCGAGCCAGUCAACCCCGGGCCGCGACGCUCUGGGAACCACACCCGUCCAGGAAGGCACCUUGGCCAAAGCCGGCUCCUUCGCAGAUGACCCGGGCCAGGGUCCGAGCGCCAGGCUGUGACCCCGCGAGGCUGUUCCACGCUGGCCGCGAGAGACGGAGGGCAGGAGGGGCCCGAAUAGGACAGAGAGAGAGAGAGAGAGAGACAGAAGGAGGCGCACGCGCUCCCCAGGGACCGGGACGCGGUGGUGGGCGGGACCUCGCGGGGGUGGGGGGUGGUCGCAGGACCCAGAAGGCUCAGGACCUUUACGGAUAGGGAGGACCCCGCAGGGGGGAGCGGGGGAGCCCCACGCCCGGCGUCCUCCGGGUGCGAGGGUCUCGGGGAGUCCGAGCCCGGGCCCACGGCCUCUGUCCCGCGGCCACUACCUGCUGGGGGUCCCGGGCCUGGGCCACGCCGGGCUGCCCUCGGGGACUUGCUGCGGCCGUUGAGGGGUCUCCGCGCGCCGCGCAGACUCGCCUCCCAACCCGAGGGCCCGGGCGGCCGCCGCCCAGAGCGUCCAGCGGCAGCGUCUUGCUCUCGAAGGCGUCCUCCACGCAGCGGAACACGCAGCCAAGCUUGGGCCGGGCCAGAGGCCUCGCGGGCUCCUGAGGCUGCCGCGCGGUCACGGCAGGAGCGGGCGACAGAAUCCGGUCUCGGAGCCUCCUGUAGCGAGGUCUGCGCGGCAGGUGCACUGGGCGGACCUGGAGGCCGCGCCCUCCCCCCCCGCCUCCUGCCGCCCGGCAGCGCUGCGCGGAGCUGGCUCUGUCCACGUAGCGGGUGCUGAACGCCCCAUUCUGGCCCCUGGGUGCUCGCUUAGUCCCGGCCACGCGUGGCUGCUCGCCCUCGGGACACACUGGGCGCUGGGAAGGCCGGGCGGGGAGCGCGCACCGGAGAAACCGCUGUGGGAAUCCCGGCCACAUUUCCAGGCCCCUUGGGCCGUCCCACGCCAGACAAGAAAGCCCUGACUCCGAAACCCUGGGCGAGUGUGGAGGGCGCGCGGGGGUGGGGUGUACCCGCCCACGCAAACUGCUGCUGAUCUCCCUUAAAGCCGAGUUAGAGGCUUGGGGCGAGACAGGAGUGACGGGCGAUGCUGUCACUCCAUCUGUCAUUCUACCCAGCCUGCAGCAGCUGAAUUCGAACCCAGAGACUUCAGGCCUUUGCGUUGUUACCGCAGUCCGCAUUUCAAAGCCAGAGUUUGGCCACUGAGUCACCAUGACCUCGAGUACUGGCGGGGCCCGAGCCAGCAGAGCUAGGUCCAGCAGCUUCCCACCCCUUCGUCCUCCUCUGGGCUCCCCCUCCCCUAAAUGAUUAAUGCAAUGUCUGUUACUCACCUGUGUGGGACCGUCCACGGCAAAUAUCACCAACUGUUCUUAUGCACGUGCAGAAGUUCCGUCCCUUUCCUAACUGUCUGAUCUCUUCCAUGGUUCACAUUUGACCAACAGCCACAGGAGGGAGCCUCCCAGGUGGUCGACCGGAGCCAGGUGCUGCCAGGCACCCGACUGCAGAGCUUGCCCUCCAGGUGAUCUCGCAGUAUCGGUGUUCACAAGCCCUGUAAGGCACUCGGGGUAUCCUGAAGGCUACAGAUUCUGCAAGGGCAGAGACUUUAAGGAACAGCCAUAGUCCUUCUCCAGCUCAAAAUCUGGACCAUGGGCACAAGGUUGUCCCGGAACCAUCGAUCUCUAGAAGGUACAGGAGGAAGGGGACCUGCCAGUCCAGCCCUCAUAUUUUACAGAGGGAAAAGGUGAAGCCCCAUGUAAAACAGGGAUUUCCCUCGGUGACACUUCCAGGCUGAGAAGGGCCGGGGAUCUGGACACCUACCCAGAAACACUCCCACCCUGUCAAUGCCUCUCUGAAUUAUGUGAUCAACUGCCUGGAGUAUGAACUAGGCACAUGCAAAUAGAGAACAGAGGUCUUGUUGAAAAUAUGAUGCUGAAUUUUAAAAACUCACUCCCCAAAUUAAAGGAACAAGACCAGAGCA
rnacentral:lncRNA from 1 species